GACGAACGCUGGCGGCGUGCCUAACACAUGCAAGUCGAGCGAAUGAAGUUCCUUCGGGAACGGAUUUAGCGGCGGACGGGUGAGUAACACGUGGGCAACCUGCCUCAUAGAGGGGAAUAGCCUUCCGAAAGGGAGAUUAAUACCGCAUAAGAUUGUAGUACCGCAUGGUGUAGCAAUUAAAGGAGCAAUCCGCUAUGAGAUGGGCCCGCGGCGCAUUAGCUAGUUGGUGAGGUAACGGCUCACCAAGGCGACGAUGCGUAGCCGACCUGAGAGGGUGAUCGGCCACAUUGGGACUGAGACACGGCCCAGACUCCUGCGGGAGGCAGCAGUGGGGAAUAUUGCACAAUGGGGGAAACCCUGAUGCAACAACGCCGCGUGAGUGAUGACGGCCUUCGGGUUGUAAAGCUCUGUCUUCGGGGACGAUAAUGACGGUACCUGAGGAGGAAGCCACGGCUAACUACGUGCCAGCAGCCGCAGUAAUAC
rnacentral:rRNA from 1 species